GUGUGUGUGUGUGUGUGUGUGUGUGUGUGUGUGUAUAUAUAUGUGUAUAUAUAUAUAUAUAUAUACACACACACACCACUUAACAAGUUG